UCCGGGGGGGGCAAGCGUUGUUCGGAAUUACUGGGCGUAAAGGGCGCGUAGGCGGUUCGCUAAGUUGAAUGUGAAAACUCUGGGCUUAACCCAGAGCCUGCAUCCAAAACUGGCGAACUGGAGUACUGGAGGGGAAAGCGGAAUUCCUGGUGUAGCGGUGAAAUGCGUAGAUAUCAGGAGGAACACCGGUGGCGAAGGCGGCUUUCUGGACAGUAACUGACGCUGAGGCGCGAAAGCCGGGGGAGCAAACAGG
rnacentral:rRNA from 1 species